rnacentral:rRNA from 1 species
AGAGUUUGAUCAUGGCUCAGAUUGAACGCUGGCGGUAUGCUUAACACAUGCAAGUCGAACGGUAACAGCAGAGCUUGCUCUGGCUGACGAGUGGCGGACGGGUGCGUAACGCGUGGGAAUUUACCUUUUAGUGGGGGAUAGCCCGGUGAAAACCGGAUUAAUACCGCAUACUACUCUACGGAGGAAAAGGGGCCUCUCCUUGGAAGCUCUUGCUAUUAGAUGAGCCCGCGUAAGAUUAGCUAGUUGGUGAGGUAAUGGCUCACCAAGGCAACGAUCUUUAGCUGGUUUGAGAGGAUGAUCAGCCACACUGGGACUGAGACACGGCCCAGACCCCUACGGGAGGCAGCAGUGGGGAAUAUUGGACAAUGGGCGAAAGCCUGAUCCAGCAAUGCCGCGUGUGUGAAGAAGGCCUGCGGGUUGUAAAGCACUUUCAGUGGGGAAGAAAUGCACAAAGCCAAUACCUUUGUGAG